ACCCGCACAAGCGGUGGAUGAUGUGGAUUAAUUCGAUGCAACGCGAAAACCUUACCUACCCUUGACAUGUCUGGAAUCUUGGUGAGAGCCGAGGGUGCCUUCGGGAGCCAGAACACAGGUGCUGCAUGGCUGUCGUCAGCUCGUGUCGUGAGAUGUUGGGUUAAGUCCCGCAACGAGCGCAACCCUUGUCACUAGUUGCCAUCAUUUGGUUGGGCACUCUAGUGAGACUGCCGGUGACAAACCGGAGGAAGUGGGGAUGACGUCAAGUCCUCAUGGCCCUUAUGGGUAGGGCUUCACACGUCAUACAAUGGUCGGUACAGAGGGUUGCCAAGCCGCGAGGCGGAGCCAAUCCCACAAAGCCGAUCGUAGUCCGGAUUGUUCUCUGCAACUCGAGAGCAUGAAGUCGGAAUCGCUAGUAAUCGCAGGUCAGCAUACUGCGGUGAAUACGUUCCCGGGUCUU
rnacentral:rRNA from 1 species